UACGUAGGGACCAAGCGUUGUUCGGAUUUACUGGGCGUAAAGGGCGCGUAGGCGGCAUGACAAGUCACUUGUGAAAUCUCCGGGCUUAACUCGGAACGGCCAAGUGAUACUGUCAAGCUAGAGUGCAGAGAGGGCAAUCGGAAUUCUUGGUGUAGCGGUGAAAUGCGUAGAUAUCAAGAGGAACACCUGAGGCGAAGGCGGGUUGCUAGGCUGACACUGACGCUGAAGCGCGAAAGCCAGGGGAGCAAACGGG
rnacentral:rRNA from 1 species